rnacentral:tRNA from 1 species
GAGGAUGUAGCUCAAUGUUACAGCUCAUACCUCCCAUGUGGGUGGCCCUGGGUUUGAUCCCCAGCACUGUCA